rnacentral:rRNA from 1 species
UACGUAGGUGGCAAGCGUUGUCCGGAUUUAUUGGGUUUAAAGGGUGCGUAGGCGGCUUUGUAAGUCAGUGGUGAAAUACUCUAGCUUAACUAGAGGGGUGCCAUUGAUACUGCGGAACUUGAGUACAGAUGAGGUAGGCGGAAUUGACGGUGUAGCGGUGAAAUGCAUAGAUAUCGUCAAGAACACCGAUAGCGAAGGCAGCUUACUGGGCUGUAACUGACGCUGAUGCACGAAAGUGUGGGGAUCAAACAGG